rnacentral:rRNA from 1 species
CACGUAGGGCGCAAGCGUUGUCCGGAAUUAUUGGGCGUAAAGAGCUCGUAGGCGGUCUGUCGCGUCGGCUGUGAAAACCCGGGGCUCAACCCCGGGCCUGCAGUCGAUACGGGCAGACUAGAGUGCGGUAGGGGAGACUGGAAUUCCUGGUGUAGCGGUGGAAUGCGCAGAUAUCAGGAGGAACACCGGUGGCGAAGGCGGGUCUCUGGGCCGUAACUGACGCUGAGGAGCGAAAGCGUGGGGAGCGAACAGG